CCUGGGGGGCAAGCAGAGGCAGAGUGAAGGCGGAACCCUUCAGGAGGCCGGCGGCAAGGACGAUGAGGGCUCAGUCCCUCAGGAGACCUGCAGUGGCACAGAACCCCCUCAGAAGGCCGGCAGCGGUGAAGGCGGAACCCUUCAGGAGGCCGGCGAAGGCGAGGUAGAGGGCGGGUCCCCUCAAGAGGAAGGCCAGGUAGAGGGCGGGUCCCCUCAGGAGGAAGGCCAGGUAGAGGGCGGGUCCCCUCAGGAGGCAGGCCAGGUAGAGGGCGGGUCCCCUCAGGAGGCAGGCCAGGUAGAGGGCGUGCCUCCCCUGGACGGUCUGGAGGGCGGACCCCCUCCGGUGGAAGCAGAGGCCGGUACCCCUCUGGAAGGAGCAGGGGGC
ensembl:lncRNA